AUUGAACGCUGGCGGCAGGCCUAACACAUGCAAGUCGAGCGGAUGAAGGGAGCUUGCUCCUGGAUUCAGCGGCGGACGGGUGAGUAAUGCCUAGGAAUCUGCCUGGUAGUGGGGGAUAACGUCCGGAAACGGGCGCUAAUACCGCAUACGUCCUGAGGGAGAAAGUGGGGGAUCUUCGGACCUCACGCUAUCAGAUGAGCCUAGGUCGGAUUAGCUAGUUGGUGGGGUAAAGGCCUACCAAGGCGACGAUCCGUAACUGGUCUGAGAGGAUGAUCAGUCACACUGGAACUGAGACACGGUCCAGACUCCUACGGGAGGCAGCAGUGGGGAAUAUUGGACAAAGGGCGAAAGCCUGAUCCAGCCAUGCCGCGUGUGUGAAGAAGGUCUUCGGAUUGUAAAGCACUUUAAGUUGGGAGGAAGGGCAGUAAGUUAAUACCUUGCUGGUUUGACGUUACCAACAGAAUAAGCACCGGCUAACUUCGUG
rnacentral:rRNA from 1 species